rnacentral:rRNA from 1 species
AUUGAACGCUGGCGGAAUGCUUUACACAUGCAAGUCGAACGGCAGCACGGACUUCGGUCUGGUGGCGAGUGGCGAACGGGUGAGUAAUACAUCGGAACGUGCCCAGUCGUGGGGGAUAACGUAGCGAAAGCUACGCUAAUACCGCAUACGAUCUAAGGAUGAAAGCGGGGGAUCGCAAGACCUCGCGCGAUUGGAGCGGCCGAUGGCAGAUUAGGUAGUUGGUAGGGUAAAGGCCUACCAAGCCGACGAUCUGUGGCUGGUCUGAGAGGAUGAUCAGCCACACUGGGACUAGGACACGGCCCAGACUCCUACGGGAGGCAGCAGUGGGGAAUUUUGGACAAUGGGCGAAAGCCUGAUCCAGCCAUGCCGCGUGCAGGAUGAAGGCCUUCGGGUUGUAAACUGCUUGUGUACGGAACGAAAAGGUUUGGCCUAAUAAGCUGAGCUCAUGACGGUACCGUAAGAAUAAGCACCGGCUAACUACGUGCCAGCCGCCGCCGUAA